UACAGAGGUCCCAAGCGUUGUUCGGAUUCACUGGGCGUAAAGGGUGCGCAGGUGGGUUUGCAAGUUCGAUGUGAAAGCCCCGGGCUUAACCCGGGAAUGGCAUUGGAUACUGCAGAUCUGGAGGAUCGGAGGGGGGACUGGAAUUCUUGGUGUAGCGAGUGAAAUGCGUAGAUAUCAAGAGGAACACCAGUGGCGAAGGCGAGUCCCUGGACGGUACCUGACACUGAGGCACGAAAGCUAGGG
rnacentral:rRNA from 1 species